rnacentral:rRNA from 1 species
GACUACAUGAAGCUGGAAUCGCUAGUAAUCGCGGAUCAGAAUGCCGCGGUGAAUACGUUCCCGGGUCUUGUACACACCGCCCGUCACACCAUGGGAGUCAGUAACGCCCGAAGUCAGUGACCCAACCGGAAGGAGGGAGCUGCCGAAGGCGGGACGGAUAACUGGGGUGAAGUCGUAACAAGGUACC